GACGAACGCUGGCGGCGUGCCUAAUACAUGCAAGCUGAGCGCUGAAGGCUGGUACUUUUACCUACUGGAUGAGCAGCGAACGGGUGAGUAACGCGUGGGUAAUCUGCCUUCGAGCGGGGGACAACUUAUGGAAACGAAUGCGAAUACCUCAUAAAAACUUUAAUCACAAGUUUUAAGACUGAAAUAUGCAAUUGCAUCACUCAAAGAUGAUCCCGCGUUGUAUUAGCUAGUUGGUGAGGUAAAGGCACACCAAGGCGAUGAUACAUAGCCGACCUGAGAGGGUGAUCGACCACAUUGGGACUGGGACUCGGCCCAAGCCCCUACGGGAGGCAGCAGUAGGGAAUCUUCGGAGAUGGACGAGAGUCUGACCGAGAAACGCCGAGUGAGUGAAGAAGGUGAUCGGAUCGUGAGACUCUGUUGGUAGAGAAGAGCGUUGGUGAGAGUGGAAAGCUCAUCCAGUGACGGUAACUAAUCAGAAAGGGACGGCUAACUACGUG
rnacentral:rRNA from 1 species